AGGGUUUGAUCUAGCUCAGAUUGAACGCUGGCGGGAUGCUUUACAUGCAAGUCGAACGGCAACCACAGACUUCGGUCUGGUGGCGGUGGCAGGCGGGUGAGUAAUGUAUCGGAACGUGCCUAGUAGCGGGGGAUAACUACGCGGCAGCAGCUGGCUACCGCAUACGCCCUUCGAAGAGAAAAGCAGGGGACCUUCGGGCCUCGCACUAUUAGAGCGGCCGAUAUCGGAUUAGCUAGUUGGUGGGGUAACGGCUCACCAAGGCGACGAUCCGUAGCUGGUUUGAGAGGACGACCAGCCACACUGGGACUGGGGCACGGCCCAGACUCCUACAGGAGAACGACAGUGGAAUUUUGGACAAUGGAAGCUGAUCAGCCAUCCCGCGUGUGCGUGGAAGGCCUUCGGGUUGUAAGCACUUUUUGGCAGGAAAGAAACGGCACGGGAUAAUAGCCCGUGCAACUGCGGCAAUACCUGCAGAAUAGGCACCGGCUAACUACGUGCCAGCAGCCACGCGGGCAUCACGUAGGGUGCAAUAAUUAAUCGGAAUUACUGGGCGUAAAGCGUGCGCAGGCGGUUCGGAAGAAAGAUGUGAAAUCCCAGAGCUUAACUUUGGAACUGCAUUUUUAACUACCGAGCUAGAGUGUGUGUCAGAGGUGGAAUUCCGCGUGUAGCAGUGAAAUGCGUAGAUAUGCGGAGGAACACCGAUGGCGAAGGCAACCUCCUGGGAUAACACUAGGCGCUCAUGCACGAAAGCGUGGGGAGCAAACGGGAUUAGAUACCCUGGUGAGUCCGCCUAAACGAUGUCAACUAGCUGUUGGGGCCUUCGGAGCCUUGGUAGCCGCAAUAACAACGUGAAGUUGACCAUGGGAGUACGGUCGCAAGAUUAAAACUCAAAGAGUUGACGGGGACCCGCACAAGCGGUGGAUGAUGUGGAUUAAUUCGAUGCAACGCGAAAAACCUUACCUACCCUUGACAUGUCUGGAAUCCCGAAAAGAGAUUUGGAGUGCUCGCAAAGAGAACCGGAACACAGGUGCUGCAUGGCUGUCGUCAGCUCGUGUCGUGAGAUGUUGGGUUAAGUCCCGCAACGAGCGCAACCCCUUGUCAUUAGUUGCUACGAAAGGGGCACUCUAAUGAGACUGCCGGUGACAAACCGGAGGAAGGUGGGGAUGACGUCAAGUCCUCAUGGCCCUUAUGGGUAGGGCUUCACACGUCAUACAAUGGUCAAGGACAGAGUUAAGCAACCGCGAGAGCCAAUCCCAGAAACCCGAUCGUAGUCGGGUCGCAGUCUGCAACUCAGCUGCGUGAAGUCGGAAUCAUGUGUCCUUGGCGGAUCAUGUCGCGGUGAAUACGUUCCCGGGUCUUCAGCACACCGCCGUCGCACAUGGAGAUUGGGUUUUACCAGAAGUAGUUAGCCUAACCGUAAGGGCGAUUACCACGGUAGGAUUCAUGACUGGGGUGAAGUCGUAACAAGGUAG
rnacentral:rRNA from 1 species